GCCUGGUGGUUCCUAGAGACGGCUGCUUCCGUGCUGAUCUUUAGGUUAUGAUUGACAGGCGCACAGCAUAGUUUAACCCUCUGUGAUUUUAUGCAUGGGAGCUGAUAUCCCCAAGCAGCCCGGUAUCCUCCAUAGCCCGGUUGCAGAGACAUUC